CACUACCAGCCUUUUCCAGCCUUUCCUUCACCUGCCCCUAGCCCGCUCCUCUUCCCCAGCUGGCUCCUGAAGAAUAUUCCUUGCCUCCGGUUUUGGGUCUUCUCUCUAGGUAUCCUUUCAGUUCUUUCUCUCCUCUUCAUCCUCCCUCCAGCUAAAUCCCUCUCUCCCCUCAGGAAUGUCUUUCCCUCACAAUUGACACCAGACCCCUGAGUUGGCUCUGUACCUAACCCAGAGCAUGCUCGGAUGAUAAAAUGCCAAACCUCAUCCCUUGGCCGCCGUCUCUUUUCCUGCCAACCCCAGCCACCACCAGCAUCUGUGGCAGCUCCUGGGCUCCCACCUUGUCUGGCACCCAGGGCAACUUUCUGGGCCUCUCUGUGGGGUUAUGUGAAGCCAAGUGGGUAAACAGAUAUUUGUAGAUGUCAUCUGGAGAUUCUUGUGGGCAACAUCAUGAGCUCCUGGAGACAGGCUAGCUCCACAAGCACCCUGAGAAUGUGGAAUGUGUCUGCUUUCUAUACUACCAUCUACUCAAUUGUCAUGGACCAUGCCUAUCUCAUAAGCAGAUGUUGAAUAAAUGAAUGAAUGAAUGGACA
rnacentral:lncRNA from 13 species